UGGGGAAUAUUGGGCAAUGGGCGCAAGCCUGACCCAGCGACGCCGCGUGGGCGAUGAAGGCCUUCGGGUUGUAAAGCCCUGUCAUGUGGAAAGAACAGUUCUGCGGUUAAUAUCCGCGGAAUUUGACGGUACCACAGGAGGAAGCACCGGCUAACUCCGUGCCAGCAGCCGCGGUAAUACGGAGGGUGCAAGCGUUGUUCGGAAUGAUUGGGCGUAAAGGGCGCGUAGGAGGUUGUGAAAGUCAGAUGUGAAAUACUUCGGCUCAACUGACGAACUGCAUCUGAAACUUCAUAACUCGAGUACAGGAGAGGGAAACGGAAUUCCCGGUGUAGAGGUGAAAUUCGUAGAUAUCGGGAGGAACACCAGUGGCGAAGGCGGUUUCCUGGCCUGAUACUGACGCUGAGGGGCGAAAGCGUGGGGAGCAAACA
rnacentral:rRNA from 1 species